UAUAUCUACUUAAAUUAUAUUUAAAGCACACAAUAAUGGAUAAUUAUGUAGUGAUUUAAAUACAAUUUUCUUUAAAAUAACAUAUCUAGCCCAGCGAUCGUGGAAAAUGCUAAACAAAUUUCGAUGAUAAGUCGGUUCAAAGAAGAUGCAGAUAUUAAAUAAGGUCAUAAAAGAAGGAAGACGACGAAUUUCAUUCAUUAUUACACUGAACGAAGAAUGGAGGGGAAUGAAGCAUAAAUAGUGAAGUAACAGAGGACAAGUCAACAUUAUCGACCAAGGAAAGAAGAAAU